AUAGUGUACACACUAAACGUUGCUUCGGAAAUAUCAUAAUCUUAAUAUACUUAAUGGUUUUUAUUAUGUUUUAUAAAUGCUCUCAAAAAAAAUCGGAAGUUUUUAGUCCCUAACUAAUUCUAAUUUCAAAUUAUACCUGCAAAGAAACUUUCAAAGUGUAUCGGUUAAAUAUUAUGUUAUUGAAAACUUAGUAGACUGUUGAGGAUGUAAUUGUUUAAAAUGUUAUUGAGAAUUGCUGCUCAAAAUCUACUUAAAUCUGACCAGAAACAUAUACAAAAAAACAAUAAAUAUGAUGCGAAAGGGCUUGUAUUAUGCGGACUUUAUUUAUAUGUUAUGUGGACUGUGCAUUAUUACCAUACUCAGUACGCAUCAUCAAUCCGUAAAUUGCACAAAAGAAUCGCCGGCUCAGUUAUCUUCUCCCUCAAAUGAUAUUGUCGCCCAGUUUAACCUUCCUUCAAUAACGUCAGCAUCUAACUAUGGAAAUCGCUCAAAAGGAUAUAAUGGAGAAAACGGUGAAGACUCUCAAUCUAAGAACUAUUUUACGCAUCUGAGCUUCGAUUUUAUGAACAAUGUCUUGUUUGCGGGUGCCACAAAUAAAAUACUUAAACUUAACGAGAACCUGCGUGUGCUGUCUGAGGCUGUCACUGGACCCGUAAAUGAUUCACCACAAUGUCAUGCAGGAGGUUGCCCGGAGGACAUAGAGACAUCGCUGGUCAACAAUUACAAUAAAAUUCUCGUAGUAAGCUACGCUCACGAUGGCAUUCUUAUAUCGUGUGGUAGCAUUCGACAAGGCGCAUGCGAAAUUUACAGCCUUCCGCGGUUUCCAUCAACGCCUCAAUUUGUCGCAGUUCCAUUGGCGGCUAAUGAUGAAAAUGCAUCAACAUAUGCAUUUGUAGGUCCUGCACGAUAUUCAUGGAAAGAAGAGGAUAUUUUAUAUGUGGGAACGACGUUCACGAACGUUGGUGAUUAUCGCCAUGACGUUCCUGCCAUUUCGUCCCGUCGGCUUGAUGAUUUAAACUACGCAGAGUUUUCAAUACAGCAGUCAAUUAUAAAUAUCGAUGUCAAAUAUCGGGAUCAUUUCUUAGUCGAUUAUGUUUAUGGCUUUAACUCUUCUGAAUAUGCGUACUUUGUUAUUGUUCAAAAAAAAUCACAUUUAGCUGAUGAGGCAGGUUAUGUAACCCGUUUGGCUCGAAUAUGUAUUACAGAUCCCAAUUAUGACAGUUAUACUGAAAUAACAGUUCAGUGUACGGCCACUGAAAAUCAUAUUGACUACAAUAUACUACGCGAUGCCAAAGUAACUCCGGCAAGCCAAAAAUUAGCUCAGAAAAUGGGUAUAAAAAAGGACGAUCACGUGUUAGUAACUGUUUUUUCGCCCUCGAAAGAGAUAAGCGAUCAGCCAGAAAGCAAAUCGGCUAUGUGCAUAUAUAGCAUAAAAGACAUUGAGGACAUGUUUAUUGAAAAUAUUCAUCUGUGCUUUAACGGAACCAUAAAGGAUAGAAAUUUGGGUUAUAUAUCGGGCACUAUCAAUGACGGCCGGUGCCCAAUAGUUGGCUCGCUCGGUAACAUAUACAACUUUUGUUCUGUAGGACUUAAGAUAAGCGGAGUUUCUCCUAUCACUACACACGCUCUCUUUCAUUUUGAUAAUGUAUCAGUUACGUCAAUAACUGCAACGUCAACGACUGAUCAGCAGCAUUCUCUUGCUUUUCUUGGAACCGACAAGGGAUUGAUAAAAAAAGUUUUAUUAUCUGGUCAGAAUCCAGGUGAGUACGAAGAAAUAGUUGUGGAUGCUGGAAAUCGGAUACUACCAAACACUAUGAUGUCGCCCAAAAAAGAUUUCCUUUACGUUUUAUCGCAACGUAAAAUAACUAAACUCAGAAUCGAGCAUUGUUCUGUAUACACAAAUUGUUCAGCUUGCUUGGAGUCUCGGGACCCUUUUUGUGGAUGGUGUUCAUUGGAAAAACGGUGCACCGUGCGGUCAACAUGUCAGCGAGAUACGUCAGCAUCGCGAUGGCUUUCUUUGGGCAGUGGGCAACAGUGUAUUGAGUUUGAAUCAAUUAUCCCUGAGAAAAUACCAAUUACUGAUCUAACACACCUGCACCUAAUAAUUCGAACACUGCCCGAACCUUUUAAUGCAAAAUACCGAUGUGUCUUUGGAAACUCUACCCCUAUUGACGCCGAAAUCCUGGACAAUGGACUCGGAUGUGCUACCCCCCCACUAGAUGAAAGACCAGUAAUACCAACUAAUACAGACCAUGUUUUGGUGCCAUUGUCCGUUAGAAGUUCAGAGACAAAUAAGGACUUUGUAUCAAGAUUUUUUGCAUUCUUUGACUGUUCGCAUCAUGGAAAUUGCCAGGAAUGUUUACAAAGUUCAUGGGGCUGCAACUGGUGUAUUUUUGACAAUAAAUGUGUCCAUCAAUCAAUACAAUGUCGUAAUAUAGAAAAUUCGGUAACUAGUGUUGGUCAAUGCCCCCAUUUAAAAAGCAAUCGUCCGGCGAUUCUUUUACCGGUGCGGGUGCCAAAAGAAAUUCGUUUAGAGAUAGAAAACUUACCAAAACCCAAAAGCGCUCACGCUGGAUUCUUGUGUACAGUUCAUAUUGAAGCUGCUCAGAUGCUAUUGCCUGCCCACAUUGAGUCAAACAAGAUUGUUGUUUGUGAAAAAACACCUUAUUUCUACGAGACUAAUACACAUGAAUACCAAGCAAAGGUUGUAAUUACAUGGAAUUUCCAGCACUAUGUGGACACGGCGAUUGUUACAUUAUAUAAAUGCGACGUACUGGGCUCACAUCGGGAUCAUGCUGAUUGCAGUUUGUGUGUCACUCGUGAUCCAAAAUACCAAUGUGCUUGGUGCAGCAACUCAUGUGUAUAUAACGAGACUUGCAUAGCAGACAGUGAUCGUGCUAUUAGUGCAGGAUCAAAAACAACUAAAGAAAACGAGUGCCCUUUACCAAGGAUCGAUAUUAUUAAACCGUUAUCUGGACCUAUUGAGGGUGGUACCCUUAUUACAAUUGAAGGCAGUAAUUUGGGCAUUCGCGAAGGAGAUGUGCGUGGAAAAAUAUUUAUUGGGUCUGUGCCUUGUGAACUAGUCAACUACCAAAUUUCUGUAAAGAUCGAAUGCCGCACUGGAGCAGUGAUGUAUGAAAUGUCAGCGCCUAUAAAGGUUGCAAAUGAUGCAGGGUAUACUGAAUCUAGUGUACAAUUUCACUUUAAGAAUGUUUUGCUAACAGGAUUAUAUCCCACGAUUGGGCCCAGGUCGGGAGGAACACAAUUGUCGUUAAUAGGAAAGUUUUUGAACAUUGGAUCAACCAUGCGAGCAUAUUUAGAUGAGUACGAGUGUCAUAUAAACGUUACACAAGCUUCUUCAACUCAAGUUAGUUGUACUACAUCAGAGGCGACCCAACCAGAACCAAUACGGUCUCUACACCUUCUUAUUGACGGUGCCAACCGAACUUUAGAAUGUCAUAUCUCACCCGCAACUAUACCCAAUAAAAAUCUAACUCGAAGUAAUUUCGGUUCAUACCAAUUUCGUACGUUACCAAGGCAGCCCUGUUCUAUUUUUAACUAUACCCAAGACCCGCGUAUAAUGCAGAUUAAGCCUUUACGCAGUUUUGUAAGUGGUGGUCGCGUUCUGACCGUUCAUGGAAUGUAUCUUAAUUCAAUUCAAAAGCCUGAACUUGAAGUUUUUUUUGAUAAUGAAAGAGUAAACAAAACAUCUUGCAUAGUAAUCAAUUCAAAUCAAAUGGAAUGCCCAUCUCCUCCGGUAAAUGAUAAAUUUCAAGCAUUUAAAAGUUCUAACAGAGUGAUGGAUUCGGAAUUUGACUUUAAAAAUGAAAGUGCGCAUCAGAACGAAUAUUCUAGACGAAAGCGAAAAGCAGACUUCGUAGACAACUUUCAUAUAUACACAACAGGGGGAACUGCGCCUAGCUAUUUCGUCAAUAAUAAUAUGGAUGUUACAACUUUUGUAAAGGUCCAUGAAACGCAACUGAAUUUACAACUUAGUUUUGUAAUGGACAAUGUACAGCUUGUUCGAGAUCUAAAUAAAUACUUUCAUGAUAUCAGGAGCACUAUUGUUUAUUUAGCCGAUCCAAAAUAUUUACCAUUUCCAAAUGACGGAAUUAAACUAUACAAGGGUGACAGCUUGGUUAUUGAAGGCGAGCUACUAAAUUUGGCAGCUGAUGAAUACGACGUUAAUGUAACCAUUGGUACUACUCAAUGCAAUAUAACAAGCCUUACACUAACUCAACUUUUGUGCAUUCCACCGGAACAUCAACCACUCCCAACUGAUGAAAAUGGUGUGGAUCAAUCGACAGAUUUACCUCUAGUUGUGGUUAAAGUAGGGCGAAAUCUUCGUUUCGCCAUAGGAUAUUUGAAAUAUGAUUUAAAUAAACCCUAUGUUUUUUCACAUGCCAUGUUUGUCGUUAUAUUGACAGUUGCAGUGCUUGUCAUCGUUUUGGUUGUCGUACUAAUAAUAUUUAGAAGGAAAUCGACCCAAGCAGAACGGGAAUACAAACGAAUUCAGAUACAGAUGAUAACAUUGGAAAGCAACGUUCGUUCUGAGUGUAAACAGGCAUUUGCUGAGCUCCAAACGGACAUGACCGAUCUAACAGCAGAUUUGGAGAGCACCGGUAUACCAACGUUAGAUCACGUCAAUUACAUUAUGAAAGUUUUCUUUCCCGGUGUAUCAGAUCAUCCUAUUCUAAACUCCCGAAAAUUUUGUGGAAGUAGCCCGCACACUAACUAUGAUGCAGCUAUGAUACAAUUCGAGCAACUUAUUGGAAACAAAUAUUUUUUACUAUUGUUCAUAGAAACUUUAGAAGCUCAACGGUCAUCUUUCUCAAUUCGCGAUCGAGUUAACGUCGCCUCUUUACUUAUGGUUGUUCUAAUGAACAAAAUGGAAUAUGCGACGGAAAUUUUAAAGUCCCUUUUAUUGCGAUUAAUUGACAAAUCGCUCGCCAGCAAGCAUCCUCAGCUAAUGCUACGACGCACUGAGAGCGUAGUUGAAAAAAUGUUAACAAACUACUUAGCAAUUUGUAUGUACGACUACCUAAAAGAAUAUGCUGGAUCUAAUUUAUUUUUGCUGUUCAAGGCAAUUAAGCAUCAAAUUGAAAAGGGUUUGGUGGACGCAAUAACCCACGAUGCUCGUUAUUCACUUUCAGAGGAACGACUUCUCCACGAACAAGUUACCCAUUCUGUUGUAAUUUUGCACAUUUUACAAGAUGAUCUUGAUGAAAAAGUCCAAUGUCGUGUAAACGAUUUGGAUACCAUAUCGCAAGUUAAAUUAAAAAUUUUGGACGCAAUUUUUAAAAAUACUCCGUUUUCUAUGAGACCAUCUGUGCACGAAGUUGACUUAGAAUGGAGGCAUGGAAGAGGAGGUCAUCUCACAUUACAAGAUGAAGACCUAACUACAAAAACAAUAAAUGGAUGGAAACGCCUCAACACAUUGGCCCAUUAUGGAGUAAAAGAAUCGGCUGUGAUGUCACUUAUAGCACGGCAAAAUGAUAACUACCACAUACCGUAUGGCAAAAACCAAAAUCAGGCACCUUACCAUAAUUUUUAUUUUAUAAAUAACUCUCAAAGCCAUAUUAUAAUUAAUAAUGACAUCGAGUCAGGAUUGCAACAACCUCGACUUUACCAUCUUAUCAAACCCAUUAUACCUGAUCAUUAUAUGAACAUUAAAAACUCUGCCUUAUCUGGAGCUUCACCAGCAACUCAAUCAUCCCAUUGCGUAAAUAAUUGUAAUGAGAGGGUAAACAAAACUAUACCAGAGGUCUACUUAACACGUCUCUUGGCCACAAAGGGAACUAUACAAAAAUUCGUUGAUGAUUUCUUUUCAAUUAUUUUAACCGUUAAUGAGGAGUUACCGCCUGCAGUGAAAUGGCUUUUUGAUUUGCUAGAUGAAGCAGCUCGACGUCAUGACAUUGCUGAUACUGAUAUUGUACACGCUUGGAAAUCAAAUUGUUUGCCCCUUCGAUUUUGGGUUAAUUUUAUAAAGAAUCCUGAUUUUAUAUUUGACGUAAAUAAAACGUAUUGUGUGGAUUCCUGUUUGAGUGUCAUUGCGCAAACUUUUAUGGAUGCAUGCUCAACUGCGGAGCAUAGGCUUGGAAAAGAUUCUCCGUCGAAUAAGUUGUUAUUUGCAAAAACGGAUUUGUUAAGAUAUGUUAUGAGCACAGCGUUAUAUGUAUAUGGCUAUGUCUUGUUUCGUGCAUAAACAAUUCAUAAAAUUUUUUUGACUAUGGGAUGGAAAGAUAAGGAGUGGCAAAACUACUACUACUUGUAGAAUUCAAUGUUUAAAUGGAAAAUAAGUGUUCGUAUAAACUAAAAAAAAAGGAAAGAAGAGAGUAUGCAGCAAUUGAGUGCCUCGACCUUUAUAUCCCUGUCACUCAGCUAACAAAUUUAAGGACAUUCCAAACUAUAGAAUUAUGGUUAAGGAAUUUUACCGGGAUGUCUCAAGGCUUCCACAAAUAAGCGACCAGGAAAUGAGUACAGCAAUGCAACAACUAUCAGUAAGGCAGAAUGAUGAAUUUGACACCAUUUCUGCAUUAAAAGAGUUAUAUAUUUAUAUAACAAAAUAUAAGGAUAAGAUUAUGGAAGCACUUGAAAACGAUAUAAAUUGCCGGAAGAUGCAACUUUCUCGAAAAUUAGAAAGUGUUGGUGUUACACUUGACGGUGACGGAACAUCUAAUUGCUGACACACGCGUGAUUUUUAAGAAUUGUCUGGACAUUAACUUUCGUUUUUUUUUUAGCAAGAACAAUAUUAAUAACUUGCAACUUGUCAAAUCUUAAAAAAAAUGUUAAAGAUAAAAAAUAGAUCAUAUUUGUACAAGAAGCAGACUUUGUAAUAUAAGAACAAAUAUCUAAUCGCUUUUAUAACGAAGAGAAAAUACACAACAUUUUGACCAAAUGCUAAAAAUUAUUUAUUUCCGUAAAUACCGUAAUGGGAACACAAUAUGUGCAGCCCUAAAUCUGAAAGUCCUGAUAACAUUUGCGAUAGCUUAGUAUAAGAAUUAUUAAAAUUAGUAUUAGUGUAUUUUAAACACAAAAAUUAUAUUUCUAGCUUACUUGUAUAUUUUUGACAUGUGGACAAUGUUAUGUGGGUAAUAGAACUCGUCUUAUAUCCCCGACAACCUUUUUUCAAAGGAUAUUUUAAAAAUUUCAAAAUUGGUGGAAAAUAUAAUCAAAGGGGAAAUCAUACACGAUCCAACCUCCCACUUACUAUCUUUUUAAACUGACGCAACAUGAUCCAAAAAAUCGGUAGCACUUAGCACUGAAACGCAAGAAAUUAUCUGAAAAUUUCAAAGGAUUAUUUCUUUGUAAGAAGUCCGAUAGUAAUUAAAAAUAUAAUUUUGGUAAAAUGUAUAUAACAAAUUAGAGUUUUUGCGAAAGUGUUGUGCAUUUUGCCUUCGUACUAGUAACGUUUGUAAACUUUUUCAGCGAGAAUAGAACUGAUUAAUGUAUCUUUAUCUUAAUUAAUUCUUUAUGCAAAUUAAGAUCCUAAAUGUUCACAAAAUAUAUGUAUUUAUAUUGUAUAUAAUAAGCUCUUAAAAAUAUAAAAGAAGUGGAACGAUAAA